rnacentral:rRNA from 1 species
UCUGAUCAGCAGUAGCGUGCAGGAUGACGGCCCUAUGGGUUGUAAACUGCUUUUAUGUGGGAAUAAAGUGGCGCACGUGUGCGCCAUUGCAUGUACCUCAUGAAUAAGGACCGGCUAAUUCCGUGCCAGCAGCCGCGGUAAUACGGAAGGUCCGGGCGUUAUCCGGAUUUAUUGGGUUUAAAGGGAGUGUAGGCGGUCUGUUAAGCGUGUUGUGAAAUUUAGGUGCUCAACAUUUAACUUGCAGCGCGAACUGUCAGACUUGAGUACACGCAGCGCAGGCGGAAUUCAUGGUGUAGCGGUGAAAUGCUUAGAUAUCAUGAGGAACUCCGAUCGCGAAGGCAGCCUGCGGGAGUGUUACUGACGCUUAAGCUCGAAGGUGCGGGUAUCGAACA